GUGAUUGUUUCAGCAGCACAUAUGCUAAGAUUGGAAUAAUACAGAGAAGAUUAGCAUGGCCCCUACACCAGGAUGACAUGCAAAUUCAUGAAGCUUUUCAUAUUUUU